AUAAUGAUACUCCCCUACAGCCACAGUCCGAGCGUUAGAAGCGUCGCAGGCAAUGGGUAGGGUUGGAUGAGAUCCAUGCAGGGGUGAAAUUCCCGUGA
rnacentral:ncRNA from 1 species